GUCCUUGCGCAGUGGCAAUAUCGUAAACUAAUGAAGGUCUCCUGAGGUGCGAUUAUUGCUAGUUGAAAACUAGGU
rnacentral:snRNA from 1 species